ensembl:lncRNA
UCCCUCUCUCUGGCCCCCUCCCUCUCUCUCUGGCCCCAUCCCUCUCUCUCUGGCCCCAUCCCUCUCUGUCUCCCUCCCUCUCUCUCUGGCCCCAUCCCUCUCUCUCCGUCUCCCUCCCUCUCUCUCUGGCCCCAUCCCUCUCUCUCCGGCUCCCUCCCUCCCUCUCUGGCCCCAUCCCUCUCUCUCCGUCUCCCUCCCUCUCUCUCUGGCCCCAUCCCUCUCUCUCCGUCUCCCUCCCUCUCUCUGGCCCCAUCCCUCUCUCUCAGUCUCCCUCCCUCUCUCUCUGGCCCCAUCCUAACUAACCAUAGCGGCAUGUGUACAUAGCCAAUCAUCUUUUAUAGCCGAAUGGCUCCAGUAAAACCAAUAUGGAUAUUGUAGAAAAGGGCAGGUUGAUGCUGAUACUUAAGCAUUGCUGGCACACAUCCAGGAUGUGUAAAAUGGGCCAUUCUGCUAGAAUGCUUUUUCUACGAGGACAUAACCACCUGGCCUGCAUGACACACAUACUGUAUAUCUCUGCCCGCUCUAGACCCAAUUAGUGCUUUUUGAUAGAUUUGUUAAAGCUUUGCAUGUAAAUAUGUUAUUUGGUAUUAAGGGGGUUGCUUUACACUGCAGUGACCAGGUUGUACAGUAUUGGAAAAAUAUACUUUAUCAGUGACCCACCUGAAUGAAUAUGGUUCUAUUAGUUAAAGUAUACUGUGUAGAGCAGACACGGGUCAAAUAUAUUAUGUCAGAUGCCUUUAAAAGGAUGUUUUUGAGCUGUGCUGAACACAUGAAACCAAUGGAAUAGUCCCAAAAGUGCAAACUCCAAGUUAAUUCAAGUGUGCCUUGGAGUAGGUCUAGGGAAUAGGGAGAGAUCCGUAUUGGACCCAGGUCUGUGUGUCGAGGGAAAGUCCGGAUGCGUCCUAAACACGUGCCACUGACUGGUUGAAGUGUGUUGGUGCAGUCUGAAUCUGAGGCUGUAGAGGGGCCCACUGCCCGGCAAUCAGCGGCAGCUACCAAAGCUCCCAACCAGAGACUCAUGUCGUCAUAAACGGAUGGAUCCCAUGACAACCACAGUACAUACAGUAAUGUAUAAUAAUGUAGGUUACAUGGUGGUGUCAGGCACCCCCUGGAGGAGGAGAAUAUUUAGUCAUGUUGGGAUAUGGGAUUCCAUUCCUCUGUAGGGCCGUCUACAUCUCACACACAGUCAACUCCACACAGGACUACUCGGACUCACACAGGCCUCUGACAUGACACCAAACUCCCAUCAUUAUAGCGAUGUGCUACGUAUAUCGUCUUGUAUCCUCGGGGUUAGAGAGUUGGGCCAGUAAACGAAAGUUUUGAAUGAAAAAUCUAUCGGAUGUUGCCCUUGAGCAAGGCACUUAACCCUAUUUGCUCCAGGGGUGCUGUACUACUAUGACUGUCCCUGUUAAACAACGCAAAUGUAUUUUAUAUAUAUAUAUAUCUUUAUAUUAUCCAGAUCACAUUACGCUACAGUAUGUGUGAGUAACGGAGAGGCUGUGGUGUGAAUUACUCCAGUCAUGUCCGCAGCUAGCUAGACAUAUGACCUAUGCUGCUCUCUAUCUUUCCAAGACGGGGGCCAUGAGCUCACCGGUAGAAACCAGAGAGUGAGUUCUGUGAACCACUGCCCAGAGAGUGAGUUCUGUGAACCACUGCCCAGAGAGUGAGUUCUGUGAACCACUGCCCAG